GGGCCGUUAGCUCAGUUGGUAGAGCACCUGACUUUUAAUCAGGUGGUCGCAGGUUCGAGACCUGCACGGCUCA
rnacentral:tRNA from 1 species